GGCUGAAUAGCUCAGUGGUAAGAGCAGUCGCCCGGCAAGCGAAAGACUCGGGUUCGAUUCCCGCUUCAGCGA
rnacentral:tRNA from 1 species